GUACUCAUCCGCAGCGGCAACAGUGAUAUUCGAGUGUCGCAUCUACAUUUCUUCAGUGGUGAGUCCUCAUGGUUCGAGGACCAAGUUUCUAGUUUUGGUGCUAUUGUUUUGUGAUCCUUUUGGUUUGUUGAGUCAGUUGGGGGUUUGUCCUAAUGGCUCGUUGAUUUUGCUGUGAAGAGGCUAUGUCACACAAGUAUAUUGUUGGGUUGGUUUGUGUAUAGACAUUCCAUAAAUGUACAUUCUAACGAUAUUCC
rnacentral:lncRNA from 1 species